rnacentral:rRNA from 1 species
UACGUAGGGUGCAAGCGUUAAUCGGAAUUACUGGGCGUAAAGCGUGCGCAGGCGGUUCGUUAAGACAGAUGUGAAAUCCCCGGGCUUAACCUGGGAACUGCAUUUGUGACUGGCGAGCUAGAGUAUGACAGAGGGGGGUAGAAUUCCACGUGUAGCAGUGAAAUGCGUAGAGAUGUGGAGGAAUACCGAUGGCGAAGGCAGCCCCCUGGGCCAAUACUGACGCUCAUG